rnacentral:rRNA from 1 species
UACGUAGGGGGCGAGCGUUGUCCGGAGUUACUGGGCGUAAAGCGCACGCAGGCGGUCUGCUAAGUUUGGAGUGACAGUUGGUGGCUUAACUGCCAAAGUGCUUCGAAAACUGACAGACUUGAGGGCUUCAGAGGGACACGGAAUUCCGGGUGGAGUGGUGAAUUGCGUAGAGAUCCGGAGGAACACCAAAGGCGAAGGCAGUGUCCUGGGGAGUACCUGACGCUCAGGUGCGAAAGCCAGGGGAGCGAACGGG